rnacentral:rRNA from 1 species
AGCAGGCGCGCAAAUUACCCACUCCCGGCACGGGGAGGUAGUGACGAAAAAUAACGAUACGGGACUCAUCCGAGGCCCCGUAAUCGGAAUGAGUACACUUUAAAUCCUUUAACGAGUACCCAUUGGAGGGCAAGUCUGGUGCCAGCAGCCGCGGUAAUACCAGCUCCAAUAGCGUAUAUUAAUGUUGUUGCGGUUAAAAAGCUCGUAGUUGAAUUUGUGUUCCGCGCUGUCGGUUCACCGCCCGCGGUGUUUAACUGGCACGUCCGCGGAACGUCCUGCCGGUGGAUGCGUGGACCCUGUAUGCUUCCCCAUUGUGCGUGUGCAACUUCGGUUGUUACUGUAUGAUGUGGUGGGGUUGCAGGCGCUCUACCAUCCGACUCAAUAAUCCUGUCGCGGUGCUCUUAAUUGAGUGUCGAGGCGGGCCGGCACGUUUACUUUGAACAAAUUAGAGUGCUCAAAGCAGGCUAAAAUUUCGCCUGAAUACUGUGUGCAUGGAAUAAUGGAACAGGACCUCGGUUCUAUUUUGUUGGUUUUCGGAAACCCGAGGUAAUGAUUAAUAGGGACAGAUGGGGGCAUUCGUAUUGCGACGUUAGAGGUGAAAUUCUUGGAUCGUCGCAAGACGGACAGAAGCGAAAGCAUUUGCCAAAAAUGUUUUCAUUAAUCAAGAACGAAAGUCAGAGGUUCGAAGGCGAUCAGAUACCGCCCUAGUUCUGACCAUAAACGAUGCCAGCUAGCGAUCCGCCGACGUUCCUCCGAUGACUCGGCGGGCAGCUUCCGGGAAACCAAAGCUUUUGGGUUCCGGGGGAAGUAUGGUUGCAAAGCUGAAACUUAAAGGAAUUGACGGAAGGGCACCACCAGGAGUGGAGCCUGCGGCUUAAUUUGACUCAACACGGGAAACCUCACCAGGUCCAGACAGCGGAAGGAUUGACAGAUUGAGAGCUCUUUCUUGAUUCGGUGGAUGGUGGUGCAUGGCCGU